CACUGUCACCCAGACUGGAGGGCAGUGGCGCAUCACAGCUCACUGUAGCCUUGACCUCUUGAGCUCCAGAGACGCUCCCACCUCACCCAGGAGGACGUCAGUCCUCCAGGCAGACAUCAGGCCCCAGAUGGACCCUGGACUCAAAGUGUACACCAGGCCCCAAGUUGACAACCAGGCCCCAGAUGAACAACGAGGUCCUAGUUGGACAGCAGGCCCAUGUUGAACACCACACUCGUGGACAUUUGGCCGCAGGCAGACACCACGCCUUAGGUAGAUACGUAGGCCCCAGGUGGGCAUUAGACCACAAGGUGAACAACAAGACCCAGUAGGCCAUCAGGCCACAGCUGGAUACAGUCACCAGGAGAACACAAGGCCCCAAGAGGGACAUACGCCCAAGGCAGACAUCAGGCCCUAGGUGGACAUCAGACCUGAGGAGGACAACCGGCCCCCGGUGAACAUCAGGCACAGGUGUCCAAGCAGGCCCUGGGUGGACAUAAUAGUGUCUAGCUCUUACUCCAUAUGCAGAAAUAGGAGCACUUCCAGCACCAGCUGUUGAGCCAGAACCAGCAUGGGAAGAGCCCCCUCCAGAGACAGCGCUGGAGGUGGAGGGAGCUCCAGCCCAGGACGAGCCCAAGGAGGAGCUGCCUGAAAUCACGGCACCUGCUGUAGCCACUGGCCUUAGCCCUGAAGUUGAACAUGUGGCAAGAGAGAGAGGCGGCAGGGAGGGGGUGACCAGCACGGCCCCAGCCAGCAGCUCCUAUGCUGCCCGUAGUCCUGGGCACGGUGGCAAACAUGGAGGCGGAGAGCCUGGGUUUGGAGAGAGGCUUCUGUCAUUCAUUAGAGCCGCAGUUCUGCUGCUGCAGGGCCUGUUUACUCUCCUGCUGCUGGUGGGGUCUAUCUGGGUGCAGGAGGUGCUGGAGAGCAUGAAGAGGAGGCUGGGAGGAAGAAUUCCAGCAGCUCCUCCUGCACUCAGAGGCGGCCUCCUCCUCCAGGCACGGAUGUCUGUCUGUAACUGGGCAUCCAGGCUGUUUGCCCCUGAAGUGCUGCCCAGGAUGGGCUCUUAAAAGGCCGGCAGGGGGUGAGGGGACCAGGAGGCAGCUCCAAAGGGUACAGCAAGCAAAGCUUUUAAAGACAGUCCUUGUGCCCCAGGAUCUCCGUGCCACCACCUGCCCUAGCAUUUAUUAAUACUAUUAGAAUUAUAAGUUGAUGGAACUACAUUUCAAUAAAGUUUGAUUU